rnacentral:rRNA from 1 species
UACGGGGGGGGCAAGCGUUGUUCGGAAUUACUGGGCGUAAAGGGCUCGUAGGCGGCCAACUAAGUCCGACGUGAAAUCCCAAGGCUUAACCUUGGAACUGCGUCGGAUACUGGAUGGCUUGAAUUCGGGAGAGGGAUGCAGAAUUCCAGGUGUAGCGGUGAAAUGCGUAGAUAUCUGGAGGAACACCGGUGGCGAAGGCGGCGUCCUGGACCAACACUGACACUGAGGAGCGAAAGCCAGGGGAGCAAACGGG